UACGUAGGUUGCGAGCGUUGUCCGGAUUUACUGGGCGUAAAGCGCGCGCAGGCGGUUCCGAAAGUCGAAUGUGAAAGCUCCCGGCCCAACUGGGAGAGGCCGUUCGAAACUUCGGGACUUGAAGGCGGGAGAGGCAGAUGGAAUUUCCGGUGUAGCGGUAAAAUGCGUAGAUACCGGAAGGAACACCAGUGGCGAAAGCGAUCUGCUGGCCCGCCCUUGACGCUCAGGCGCGAAAGCUAGGGGAGCGACCGGG
rnacentral:rRNA from 1 species